rnacentral:tRNA from 1 species
AAUGAAGUGCCUGAUAAAAGGAUUACUUUGAUAGAGUAAAUCAUGUAAAAUUUACCUUCAUUA